rnacentral:lncRNA from 1 species
GCCUGGCUUCAAGUAAGAUAGCAUUUUCUAAUAAAAGGAGGAUGGACGGAGAGAAGAGGCUAGUGCACGGUUCUGAUUUGACAGUGGUUGUUAACUGCAUGUUUGGCUGGGUCAUUUCACUUAGUGAAAGCCCCGAGUAUCGUCCUGCUCUCCAGGAGGGAAGUGUGCUGGCUACUGCCAUGGACAAGUUAUUCAGCAUCAUUCAGAAUUGCUUAGUUGCUUCCAAGUCCCCUCCUCUCUUCUACCCUACUCUUAUCUGUGUGACGUGGCUAUAACAAGGGGGGAAUAUUAAUGCACAUGACCAAAGCUCCCUGGAAGAUGAGAGAACCAUAGUCUUUAAAAGUCAUUUGAUCCAAUUGUCUUAUUUUUCAGAUGGUGAGACAGAAUCUCAGACAGCUGGACUAAUUUUGAAUACAUUCACAUGGCUAGUAUGCAGAGUUAGGACCCCCAAUCUCAAUGUACUUUCCCUAAAUUGCCUGCAAAGGGUGUGUGGUUGGGGUGGGGGUGAGAGAGGGGUUAGAUGACAAUGAAAGUUCACAAGAUGUCUCCUCUCAAGGCAAGGAAGAAAGAGCUAAACACUGAAUUUUCCUUUUCCCAUAUUGUUCAAGUAAUUUUUCUUGCAAGUUUGGUCUACUUCUAUCUGUUUUAAUGAUGUAUCGGACAGUUACCUCUAAAUGGAAUGCCUACCUGUAUUUGAUACAGGUUCUAUCACAGGACACAGGAAAUAUAUAGCAAGAGUUAAGUUCUAUUCUCUGCACCAUUUCUGCAUGGGUAGUUAGAUGUGCAUAAUAGAUUUAAACAGUAUAAAAUAUUUAUCCUUAAAAGCAUAUGCCAUUAAAGAUGCUGCUUUAAGACCAAAGCAUCUGCUUGGGGUUCUUAAUAAGCCACAAUUGAAGCACCACCACUUUUAAUAGAAUUCUGCAAAAUAAAAC